GCUGUUGUUCUAGGAGCUCUUUCAGCAAAAUCACAUAUUUUGUCCACAACUGUAGUUUAGAUAUAACAAGUUCAUAGGGGUGGAGGUGUCAUAGCGUCAAGGAAGCAAGGGAACCCAGCAUAUAGGAACUGCGUCUGGCAAAUUGAAGAAGGAAAUCAGUGCAAUAAGCUGGAAGUAUCAUUAAGACUUUCAUGUUACAAUAAUAGUGUUUCCAGGUUUGUCUUGUUGAUGGCCACCUAACCCAUUCGGUAUUGCUCUUUAAGAAUAUGAUUUGGCUUGAGGAUGUUACAGUAUGGAUGUAUGGUCCAAGAAUGUUUGGAAUAACUCCAGGAUACAAACAUUAAACUCUGACCCAUUUUAGGGCUCAAGCUACUCGACUUUGCAAACAUGGAGAGAGGGUUUUCUCCUCCAUGGCCAAGCUGUGUCUUCACUGUGCACUUUGUAAGCCUCUGUGCUGAGCAGUCAUCAGCAUUUGGCCUCAGGGAGGUCAGCAGUCUGAGUGGACCUGAAACAAAGAAGCCAAGGAUGUGGUGGGGGCAGGUGAGAAACCCUCUGAAAUCACCAGGACUGUUUGGAAAUGAGGAAAACUUUGUGUCCUGCUUGAGAAAAUGAGAGACACAGCACUGAAGUUCCAGGUGUUUGACUUGUGGUCGUCUGGUUUCUUAUUUCCUGGGGGAUUUCUUUGGUAGUAAACCCAAGACUGCCAGAAUCAACGACCAGUUCCCCAAAUCUGAGUCAUAGGUGCUUUGGCACAAAUCUUAUAUUGGUGUUCAUCGAGAUGAAGUCAUACAUUUUCAAACUGAUCCAUGUGUGAAAUUUGUUCAUCUUUAAAACUGAGUAGGAAAACUUACAACAGCUGGAGUAUUAGAACAUUUUCCUCUUUUAUUGAUAAUUGAAUUUAAAAGGAAAUUUUCUUUUUAUUUUAUUUUAUUUUAUUUAUUUAUUUAUUUUAAUUUUCCCACUGUACAGCAAGGGGGUCAGGUUAUCCUUACAUGUAUACAUUACAAUUACAUUUUUUCCCCCACCCUUUGUUCUGAUGGAAAUGAAUUAUUGUAUAUUUGAAAAGGCAAAUGAAAGAUGGGGAAGUGUUGUGGUAAGGUAUUUAGGCUUAAAAAAUUUUGCAGACUUGCCAAUAUACAAGCCAGAGUCCCAAGGUAAUCUCAGCCAGAAAAAUUAUCUAUUGACUUUCUUAUGUUCAAGAGUUUUCUGGAUUUUUUUCCCUGAACCUCCUAAGUUAUUCAAAAACUUCUUUGUUACUUAAUGUCAAGUUCUGCAUUAACAGGAACAGAGCUAGACAUAUUUCUUUUAUCUA
rnacentral:lncRNA from 1 species